ACGGGGCUCAGCUCAACCGUCAAGCAGCUGAACAGACGCUGUCUCUCGUGGUUGUUUUCACUAAUUUCAGAAAUGGUCAGUGUCUUCAGAAAAAGUCCGUUAGCAUCUCAACUGUAAUGCUAACUACAAGAGUUAUUUUGAUGUCCACACUGUAAGAGUAUUAAUCG